rnacentral:rRNA from 1 species
AGAGCGAACGCUGGCGGCAGGCCUAACACAUGCAAGUCGAACGGAUCCUUCGGGAUUAGUGGCGGACGGGUGAGUAACACGUGGGAACGUACCCUUUGGUUCGGAACAACUCAGGGAAACUUGAGCUAAUACCGAAUGUGCCCUUCGGGGAAAAGAUUUAUCGCCAUUGGAGCGGCCCGCGUCUGAUUAGCUAGUUGGUAGGGUAAAGGCCUACCAAGGCUACGAUCAGUAGCUGGUCUGAGAGGAUGAUCAGCCACACUGGGACUGAGACACGGCCCAGACUCCUACGGGAGGCAGCAGUAGGGAAUCUUGCGCAAUGGGCGAAAGCCUGACGCAGCCACGCCGCGUGAAUGAUGAAGGUCUUAGGAUUGUAAAAUUCUUUCAGCGGGGACGAUAAUGACGGUACCCGCAGAAGAAGCCCCGGCUAACUUCGUGCCAGCAGCCGC